CAUGCAAGUCGAACGAACUCUGGUAUUGAUUGGUGCUUGCAUCAUGAUUUACAUUUGAGUGAGUGGCGAACUGGUGAGUAACACGUGGGAAACCUGCCCAGAAGCGGGGGAUAACACCUGGAAACAGAUGCUAAUACCGCAUAACAACUUGGACCGCAUGGUCCGAGCUUGAAAGAUGGCUUCGGCUAUCACUUUUGGAUGGUCCCGCGGCGUAUUAGCUAGAUGGUGGGGUAACGGCUCACCAUGGCAAUGAUACGUAGCCGACCUGAGAGGGUAAUCGGCCACAUUGGGACUGAGACACGGCCCAAACUCCUACGGGAGGCAGCAGUAGGGAAUCUUCCACAAUGGACGAAAGUCUGAUGGAGCAACGCCGCGUGAGUGAAGAAGGGUUUCGGCUCGUAAAACUCUGUUGUUAAAGAAGAACAUAUCUGAGAGUAACUGUUCAGGUAUUGACGGUAUUUAACCAGAAAGCCACGGCUAACUACGUGCCAGCAGCCGCGGUAAUACGUAGGUGGCAAGCGUUGUCCGGAUUUAUUGGGCGUAAAGCGAGCGCAGGCGGUUUUUUAAGUCUGAUGUGAAAGCCUUCGGCUCAACCGAAGAAGUGCAUCGGAAACUGGGAGACUUGAGUGCAGAAGAGGACAGUGGAACUCCAUGUGUAGCGGUGAAAUGCGUAGAUAUAU
rnacentral:rRNA from 1 species